AUGGAUUCUGCACCUGGUAGUAGGCUGAGAAAGUUGGUAUUGACGGCGGAUGCAUCCAUGUGCAAAUCUCCUGGCAUUGAGCGGACGGAUCCAAGGGAAUUGGGGCGGCCAGCCAGCUGGCAGUGCACGCAUGGGCGAUCACGACGCAACAAAGUUCUGGGUUUUAAACUGGGAGCGGACGGACGUGGCCCAAGGGAGAACAUGGGUGGGGAGCGUGCGGACCGUCGACGAAAGAGAACAACACUGGGUUUGAUAAUUACUCAACAAAUCAGAGAUCGAUCUCUUUUUUUAGAUGCAAAUAUUUUUUAA
rnacentral:rRNA from 1 species